UUACGUUAGGUAAGAAUGUGACNNNNNNNNNNUACACUUGAUAGUGAUGUGCCCUGGCACUACUCUGAUACAGUGCAGUCUGCCUCCUCAGCUGCCUGACAGUGGAAGUUUAGCCUACCCUGAUCCAGAAAUCUGAGAUGAUCUGCAUCUGAAGAUAAGAUUUAUCCUAUGGCACGUUAACGGCACAAGAAUAGAGACAAUCACCGCCCCAGCUCAUAUCAAAUCAGCCUCAAAGCAGCUUUAGGACUUUGGGAGGAAGCUUUGCUGCUAAAUUCACUAUCUGUGAAGAGGAGGUGUAGAGUCAGAGUUAAGAGGAAACUCCAAUUUGAUUGGGAUCGCCGAUACAAUUUAUUUUAAAUGAGUUCAACAUUUUGUUCCUACAAACCUAAGAUAAUAGUAAAGCCUUGAUAAUACACUGACAAUUGAAGCCCCUCCUUUCAGCCGACACUCUCACCUGAGACCACGGACGAGAAGGAGGGGGCCUGGGUUUCAGUUCUUCCUACCCUCCUGCCUGCCACCCUAGUGCAUCUGAAAAGGAGGCAGUGACGAGGAAGAGAGACCGGCCGGUCCCGGCGGGAGGCGCGGCCGCCCCAGCGCCCGGGGGUCGUUCCCUCGCCUCCUCCGGGCGGCGGGAAGGAAGAGGCGGCGGCGGCCGGAGUCGGGGCGGGCGGCCUGAGGUGAGAGCCCGGCCGGCCCCGCUGGGA
rnacentral:lncRNA from 1 species